rnacentral:rRNA from 1 species
AUUGAACGCUGGCGGCAGGCCUAACACAUGCAAGUCGAACGAGUGGCGGACGGGUGAGUAAUGUCUGGGAAACUGCCCGAUGGAGGGGGAUAACUACUGGAAACGGUAGCUAAUACCGCAUACCAUCGGAUGUGCCCAGAUGUGAUUAGAUUGUAGGUGAGGUAACGGCUCACCUAGGCGACGAUCCCUAGCUGGUCUGAGAGGAUGACAAGGCAGACUGGGACUGAGACACGGUCCAGACGUCUACGGUAUGCAGCAGUGGGGAAUAUUGCACAAUGGGCGAAAUCCUGAUGCAGCCAUGCCGCGUGUAGGAAGAAGGCCUUCGGGUUGUAAAGUACUUUCAGCGGGGCGGCGUUACCCUCAGAGUAAGCACCGGCUAACUCCGUGCCAGCCGCCGCGGUAAUUC